GUGUGUGUAUGUGAGGUGUGUGUGUGUAUGUGAGGUGUGUGUGUGUGUGUGUAUGUGAGGUGUGUGUGUGUAUGUGAGGUGUGUGUGUGUGUGUGUGUGUGUGUGUGAGGUGUGUAUGUGAGUGUGAGGUGUGUGUGUGUGUGUGUGUUUUUGUGAUUUACGAGGACAAUUUUGUAAGUUACAAAUUAGUAAUUACAAGGUUAUUAUGCUAUAAAUGUGAUUUAUGAGGACAUUUCUAGUGUCCCCAUAAUUCAAAUCACUUAAAAAUCAUACUAAACAAUGUUUUAUUGAAAAUGUAAAAAUGCAGAAGGUUUUCUGUGAGGGUUAGGUUUAGGGGUUGUGUUAGGUUUAGGGGUUGUGUUAGGUUUAGGGGAUAGAAUCUAUAGUUUAUACAGUAUAAAAGUCAUUAUGUCUAUGGAAAGUCCUCAUAAUGAUAGGUAGACCAACAUGUGUGCGUGAGUGUGUGUGUAUGUGUGUGUGUGUGUGUGUGAGGUGUGUGUGUGUGUGUGUGUGUGUAUGUGAGGUGUGUGUGUAUGUGUAUGUGAGGUGUGUGUGUGUGUGUAUGUGUAUGUGUAUGUGAGGUGUGUGUGUGUGUAUGUGUAUGUGUAUGUGAGGUGUGUGUGUGUGUGUGUGUGUGUGUGUGUGUGUAUGUGAGGUGUGUGUGUGUGUGUGAGGUGUGUGUGUAUG